rnacentral:rRNA from 1 species
AUUGAACGCUGGCGGCAUGCCUUACUCAUGCAAGUCGAACGGUAACAGGUCUUCGGAUGCUGACGAGUGGCGAACGGGUGAGUAAUACAUCGGAACGUGCCUAGUAGUGGGGGAUAACUACUCGAAAGAGUGGCUAAUACCGCAUGAGAUCUACGGAUGAAAGCAGGGGAUCGCAAGACCUUGUGCUACUAGAGCGGCCGAUGGCAGAUUAGGUGGUUGGUGGGAUAAAAGCUUACCAAGCCGACGAUCUGUAGCUGGUCUGAGGGGACGAUCAGCCACACGGAGACUGGGACACGGCCCAGACUCCUACGGGAGGCAGCAGUGGGGAAUUUUGGACAAUGGCGCAAGCCUGAUUCAGCAAUGCCGCGUGCAGGAUGAAGGCCUUCGGGUUGUAAACUGCUUUUGUACGGAACGAAAAGCCCCGGGUUAAUACCCUGGGGUCAUGACGGUACCGUAAGAAUAAGCACCGGCUAACUACGUGCCAGCCGCCGCCGUAA